rnacentral:rRNA from 1 species
GCUAAAUAUAUCCACAGAACCGAUAGUANAACAAGUACCGCGAGGGAAAGUUGAAAAGCACUCUGAAGAGAGAGUUAAAAGACCGUGAAACCGCUCAGAGUAUAAGCCGAUGGUUAUUCGGAAGGCAGGGUCCUGACCCCACCCUGGCUGAGCUGAUGCUGUUCUAAGGGAAAGGAUCUAUCGUUGUGUGUCCAGAAAGAAGGCGCUGUCGUGGUAAAACUUUUGAACGUGGCAUUGAGUUGAUAGCACACCCGUGAUGAGAAAACUUGCGGGCCCAUAUGAUUGUAAAAAGAUGGAGGCCUCCGUUUUGGUGGGGGCCGAUAUCAGUCGGGCUUGUGCAAGCCGGCGUUUACCGCACACAAACGAGUGGACUACAUACUGCCCACCACAACUCUUUAUGAGGUCAGGCACGCAAGACGUGGCUCGGUUGGUGCUCUGCGCGUUCACCCAGCACAGGGAUCUAGUGUACGUCCUAAAAACACACCCCGGUUGCGAGCGCCUAUAUCGCCCGGGUGACCCUGUGCCGGCAGGCACUUCCAUGUCUAUCCAGAAAGCGUGUUGUUCUUUGAUCCUCUGUGAAGGUUGCUAUUCUGACGCCCCUAAAACCUGUAAGCAUAGUCGAGAUGGCUGUGUGGAAGAGAACUUAGUACCGGCACCACCCCCGAUGAUUUCACCAGCGGAACUGACAUGAUUGUCGAGGCCGGCUGCGAGGAGGGGGCGCAAGGGAAAAAAUCGCUCUGUUGGUGGCGGGGUGAUUGGUGUUCUAUUCCGGAGCCAUCGGUCACGUCUCGAAACACGGG